CAGUCGCCACGGUAACACGGAAGGAGCUAGCGUUGUUCGGAAUUACUGGGCGUAAAGCGCACGUAGGCGGUUAUUCAAGUCAGAGGUGAAAGCCCGGGGCUCAACCCCGGAACUGCCUUUGAAACUAGAUGACUAGAAUCUUGGAGAGGUCAGUGGAAUUCCGAGUGUAGAGGUGAGAUUCGUAGAUAUUCGGAAGAACACCAGUGGCGAAGGCGACUGACUGGACAAGUAUUGACGCUGAGGUGCGAAAGCGUGGGGAGCAAACAGGAUUAGAUACCCCUGUAGUCCCUGUCUCUUAUAC
rnacentral:rRNA from 1 species